UACGGAGGGUGCAAGCGUUGUUCGGAAUCACUGGGCGUAAAGAGCGUGUAGGCGGCCAGAAAAGUCCGCUGUGAAAACUCGAGGCUCAACUUCGAGCUGUCGGUGGAAACUUUCUGGCUAGAGUCCGGAAGAGGAGAAUGGAAUUCCUGGUGUAGCGGUGGAAUGCGCAGAUAUCAGGAGGAACACCGGUGGCGAAGGCGGCAUCCUGGACCGACAUUGACGCUGAUGAGCGAAAGCUAGGGGAGCAAACGGGG
rnacentral:rRNA from 1 species